UGGUCACGAACAAAAGGCAAAUUGACAUGGCGAUGGCUAAGAACCUCCAAACGGCGUCGACGUCGAACCCAUCAAAAGCACAAGAAAAUCGGUAAUGAUGACCUAAUACAAAGGCGAACAAGGAACCUCCGAACAACAUCGACAUCGCAUGGGACAAAAAUGAAAGAAGUCCGACGCACGACAAUUCAACACGACGUACGGAUAAGGUAACAAAGACAU
rnacentral:lncRNA from 1 species